UAUAAAAGUACUUGUUGUGUAAACAUUAUUUCUAAAGAAAAUCUCAGGGGUUUUUUUUGUAUUUUUUUGUGCAAGAAGAUAUAUUUUCCACUCACUGUACUUGCUGAAUGUAUGGGACAUGCAUAGUUAAAAUUUUACUAUGCAUUUCUUGGACUUUUCAGUCUCCUUCAGUGCGGUCAGUUCAGUAGCUGACGUGAAUUUCACAAUGUGUUUAGUGUAUAGCCCCGUGCCAACUUUUUCU